GCACGUCUAAGUACUCGCCUUGUCUUUUAAAGUGAAACCGCGAAUGGNNNANNAAAUCAGUUAUGGUUCACUAGAUCGUACCUCAUCCUACUCGGAUAACUGUGGUAAUUCUAGAGCUAAUACAUGCAACUAGGCCCUGCCCGGCCGCUCUCACGGGCGGUCGGAAAGGGCGCCAUUAUCAGCCCAAAACCGACCGGGUCGCCCCGUCCGCGGGGCUCCCGUCCUUAUACCCUUUGACGACUCUGGAUAACCUUCUAGCGGAUCGCCGGUAAAACUAGGUCGGCCGGGCGGCGACGUCCGCGUCCGACCUACGGCGACUAGUCUUUCGAAUGUCUGCCUUAUCAACUGUCGACGGUAGGUUAGACGCCUACCGUGGUCGUAACGGGUGACGGGGAAUCAGGGUUCGAUUCCGGAGAGGGAGCCUGAGAAACGGCUACCACAUCCAAGGAAGGCAGCAGGCACGCAAAUUACCCAAUCCCUGCACGGGGAGGUAGUGACGAAAAAUAACGAUACGGGACUCUUAACGAGGCCUCGUAAUCGGAAUGAGUCCGCUCUAAAUCCUUUAACGAGGAUCUAUCGGAGGGCAAGUCUGGUGCCAGCAGCCGCGGUAAUUCCAGCUCCGAUAGCGUAUAUUAAAGUUGCUGCGGUUAAAAAGCUCGUAGU
rnacentral:rRNA from 1 species